GAUAUUUUAUGAAAUAAUUAAAUAGAGCAGUUUAUCCAAUAUCAUAAUCAUAACUCAGAAGGUUUUAAAAUAGAAAUCCACUUCUAAGCAUGACAAAACAUUUUUCUCAUUAAGUGGCGCGCCAUGUGACGUUCGAUUGUUACUCGCUGCUUAUGAUCCCGGGACUUAACCACCGUCGGAUCGCUUACCGCCGCUUAAGUGAACCCGGGACGCUACCCAGACGGAACACAUCAUCAUCUGUGCUUGGAACGUGUCCAGGAGCACCCUUAUAACGCCUGCUUAGCUUCGUUAGUGCCCAAAUGGCGAUCAACCCAUUGAGCAACUAACCUUGUGUACACAAUCCUCAUCUAACGUGUUAGGUCAAAUGAGAAUCUCGAUCGAUGCUUAUGCGAGCAUUAAACAAUACAGAACGCACAUAAAAACAUUUAUAUUGGAUAAACAAUUAACUUUCAUGAAAUAUCAGAGCUUAUAUAACUCAAGAUACAUUUGUAAAAUAAAGCCCACCUGGAUAGGCAAAGCCUGAAGAUCAUACACAUAUAAACUUGUCUUGGGAAAGCAGCGCUAACCCACUUGGUCAUAAAGCCUACAAGAAAUUAUAUUCUUAAUAGGUAUCGAGGUAUCAUUCUAAUUUCUAAGUAAAUGGAACCGCUAACUAUUGAUACACUUUGCCCGAUUUAAUAAUCUCUUUGAAUGAAUCCAUAAUCUUUUAAUAUAUAAAAUAAGUUUAAAACUUAUAAAAUAAUUAAUAAUUUAAAAUAAAUUAUAAAACAUUAAUCUUGGGAGAAAAAUUAAUAAUUCUUAUUAAAACAUUUUCAGCAAAAUAAUAGUUCAAGCCCAAGAAGAUAAUUUAAAAACUUGUUAUAAAAUAAAGCAGCCCAAAGUAAUUAAAGUGAAGCCUAAAUGCUUAAAUGUACCUGAGUCCAUUGACAAUUUAAAUCAAACUAGGCUCAAUCCAUUCUUUCAAAUUCCCUUAAUGAAAACCUACACCUACACACAUCACACACACAUACAACCCACGCACACCAGCUCACUCCCUCUCUCUCAGCCGCUCACCCCACCCUUUCUGCGCCCUCCUGCCGCCGCCACCGGACGGCAGCGCCGUCCCCGGAGGCCGGCGGCUCCGCCUCCUUCCUCUAUCCUGUCCGACCGCAACGCACCCCGCCGUCCCUGUAUCGACAGAGGCGCGCCGAGCCGCCUCCCCUUCCAGUACUGCCGCCGCUGCCCUCUUUCCCUUUCCUCACCUCUAGUCUCCCUCUCUCUCUGCUUCCCCUCAGCCGAACAGCGGCGUCCACCCUUCUCCGGCGACCCUCGCCGCCAGCCACCACCCGCUCCUACCCGGCGUCACCUUCACCCUCCUCUCUCCCUCGUUUGGUCAACAGCAGCAGUCCUCAGCAGCCCAGCUGCGGUCAAGGCCACCGCGCCGCCGCCGAACGGCGGCUUUCGCCUCCCUUCUCUUCCCCUUCUUCUUAUCUUCCUUUCACCCCUCACUUCUCGCCGUCCUCCAUCACCUCUCUCUCGCGCUUUCGGCAGCGGACGGCCAAGGAGGGCCGUCGCUGCUGCUGCUGCUGCUCCGUUCACUCUGCGUCAGCGGCGCCUGGCCUUCGGCCGUGCCGCCGUGCCCCGACUCCAUCUGCCUUGGCCGCGAGCGGCCGGCGGGAUGCUGCCACGCAUGCAGCGCCGGCAGUCGCAGCCUUGACAGCCCGGCGUCGAGCUCGAACAGCCCCACUCCUCCCUCUCAUCGAUUCCUCGACUCUCACUCACUCACCAGAGGAACAAAGAAAUUGAAUGAAAAGGAAAUUGAAUGGGAGAGAGGAAAUUUUCUUCAUAAAUCGGAGUGUGUGGAUGGGAAAAGUUUGUGGGUGUGGCUGAAGGUGAUGUGGAUGAAGGAAAGCCAAAGCUUUUGAGAAAAAUAAAAUAAAAUCGCCACUGUAGAAUUCUUGGGGAAAAAGAAAAUGUAUCAAUUCUCGUUGCCCGACUCAACUUCUCACACUUUCCCAUACUGACAUUCAAAUUUUGGGCCACUACUGAUCUUACAAAUCUUGAGGUGAAAGCCCAUAAAAUUAUUCUGUUAAAAAGAGGUUGUUGGGCUUGAGGUUCAUCAAAUAAAUAAAUAGAUAGAUAUAAAUGAAAAAUACUAGUAAGAACCUUUCUACUAUAUUUUAGUAUUGGGCUCAAGACCUUUGAUUGAUAAAAAAAAUUAAUAGUAAUGAACUUAAAUACGUAAAAUCUCUUUGAAAUAAUAUCACCUUAUUAACCCGGGCGUGUAUCAAUAAUAUACUAAUUAAAGGUCUUCUACAUUUCUUAUGGGAAAAAUCGAGAUAUCACAAGUCUUUUUAAUAUUUUACAUUUGGUAAGAUUAGAUAUGCAAUGUGUCUAAUUCCUUUGCCAAUGCAUGCACAAUAUGAAAUAGAACACGAAUGAUAUUUAAAAAAAAAAGAAAAAAAAAAGAAAACACUUUUUUUCGAAUUGUAUGACUUAGCUAAUUUGUGUCAAAUGAUCUGAGUGCUUUACAUCUCUAUCUUUAAAGUGAUUUAUAUGAAGGGUUAUCCAAUUUUUAGGUCCAAUACCAUCCACCAUUGGAAAUCUAUCAAAUUUGUGGGUGCUAGACCUAUCUUCCAACAAAUUAAAUGGUGAGCUUCCAUUCUCCAUGUGCAACAUGACAUCCCUUCAAAUUCUUAUUUUCUCGAAUAACAGUUUGGAAAUCUUUGGACAUAUUUCAUCUAAAUGCAAAUCACUUUAGUGGCCCCAUUCCAUCAAUAUUUAUGAGAUGGUGAAUUUUUUAGUCUAACAAUUUGAGUAUUAAUAAAUUGCAAGGAAAUUUGUCUAUACGUGUGUUCAUAUAAGAUAUGCGAUUUUUCUAAUUCCCUUGUCACUCCAUGUGCAAUAUGAAAUAGAUUUAUAUAUAAAAAAAGUUGCGCAAUAUAUUUUCUCGAUAAAAGAAAAAGGAAAACAUACUCUAAUAUUUUGAAAAAUAAUUGGAGCAAUGUAAUCUCUUUUUCACAUGGAUAAUAGAGUGACUUAUUUAGAACUCUAGCUGGGGUGUGACUUGUGAGACUCGAAGGCAGCACAUCCCACUAGAAAUUGGAAAUCUGUCUUCACUUGUUUAUCUUGAUAUAAAUGGAAACUCUUUUCAUGGUACUAUUUCCUCUAUCUAUUUUUAAUUUGUUGUUAAUAGAAUAUAUUUAUUUAUAUGGUAAUCCUAUCAGCUCGUGUGAUAUCCCGACUUUUCUAUAAGAAAUAUAGAAGAUCUUUACUUAGUUUAUUAUUGGGAAUCUAUCCAAUUUGUCGUUGCUAUGGCUAUCUUCCAACAAAUUAAAUGGUGAGCUUCCAUUCUCCAUCUGCAACUUGAUAUAACUUCUUUACAAACUUGAUCGGAUCUUUGGCCAUUUUUGUUUAAACUAGUCUUUCUAAUAUUUUACAUUUGUUAAGAUAAGAUUUGUCUAAUUCCUUUGCCAAUGCAUGCACAAUAUGAAAUAGAACACGAAUGAUAUGUAAAAAAAAAAAAGAAAAAAAUAGAAAACACUUUUUUUCGAAUUGUAUGACUUAGCUAAUUUGUGUCAAAAGAUCUUAGUGCUUUACAUCUCUAUCUUUAAAGUGAUUUAUAUGAAGGGUUAUCCAAUUUUUAGGUCCAAUACCAUCCACCAUUGGGAAUCUAUCAAAUUUGUACCGGCUAGUCCUCGCUUCCAACAAAUUAAAUGGUGAGCUUCCAUUCUCCAUGUGCAACAUGACAUCCCUUCAAAUUCUUAUUUUCUCAAAUAACAGUUUGGAAAUCUUUGGACAUAUUUCAUCUAAAUGCAAAUCACUUUAGUGGCCGCAUUCCAUCAAUAUUUAUGAGAGGGUGUAUUUUUUAGUCUAACAAUUUGAGUGUUAAUAAAUCGCAAGAAAAUUUGCCUAUACAUGUGUUCAUACUAAUAACGAUUUUUCAUUUUUUCCAAUAGUGAUUCAAAUCACUAAUCUAUUAAUUGGAAGUGGAGAACUUUAACAAUUGAGUCACGCUUCGUUAUGAAAUUAAUUAUAUACUUAUAACUUUGCAUGACUAUAUAUGACUUUGAAUUGAUUAGAUAUAAGUUCUUGCACUAAUCUAUUAUUAUUAUUAUUAUUAUUAUUUAUUAUUAUUAUUAUUAUUAUUAUUAUUUAUUAUUAUUAUUAUUAUUAUUAUUAUUAUUAUUAUUAUUAUUAUUAUUAUUAUUAUUAUUAUUAUUAUUUCUCUCUCUUUUUCUAUACUUUACUCGGUUUACAUCAAUCUAAUUAAAUGGAAUUUUUUACAAAUUAGCCCAUAUGACAAUAUAUGUUCACUUUCAUAUAAUUAGAAAAAGCACACCACUAACUAAUUUUCUAAUACUAAUUAUGAUUUUAGAUUGGCUAGAUUAACUAUAUAUGACUCUGCAUUGAAUAGGUUAGAUAUAAAUUCUUGUACAUUAUUUGAUAAUAAAAAAAUGACUUUUAAAUUUUAUUUUAACAACUGAAAAUCAAUUUGUAAAUAUCAGAGGCCCCACUUAAUUGAACCAUUGCCAAGACUAAAUUGAACCGAGUCAAAAUUAUUUGGAUUGAACAAUUACCAUUUAAUAUUCACCAAAUAAUGUAUUCAAAUUGACAAAAACGAACCAUUAAAUAUAGUGUUCUAAUACUUAUUUAUUUUGUGGUCAUGUUAUAAUAAUCAAAUCAAUUAUUUUACGACUUGGCAAUUUUGGAGGUGAUAUUCCAAAAGCGAGAUUGAUUAUGUAUAUCUUGGGAAUAAGAAAUUCCACAAUGCUAUGAAAACUUUAGCAAAUCUUUGGCCAUCUUUCGUUCAAUUAUAAAUCAGUUUAGUGGUAAAAAAUGAGAUAUAUGGAAAAUUACAUAAAUUAUCUGUCGUCCAUUUCCUAAUUUGUUGGUUUUAGAUUACAUUUGUUGAAAAGAUAUUUCAAAUUAUCUGCCAAAGUAAAUGGUGAGCUUCCACUCCAUUUACAACUCGACAUCCCUUGCUAUCUGCAAUUUGGCAGAAACGCUUGCAAAACUUGAUCAGAUCUUUAGCUUAUUUUGUUUACUUAGCUUGCUGGCUUCUUCUCAUAUAACUAAUUUAUGCUUAGUUAGAUAAAUACUCUAACAGCAGUUGGAUUUUCUGUUUCCAGCCAUAUUGGAUCUUCAAUUUUCUCAAUGUUAGAUGAUUUGUUAAAUUAUGAUGUCAUCAAGUAUACUUGGUGUGUCAUCGUGAUACAGGGAAAUAUAAGAUUUGUAACAAAAUAUCUUGUGUGCAUUGCUAAUUGAUUUAUACUUUAAAGGCAUUUAGCAAAUAAUAAAGUUUGAGCGUAUGUUUUCAAGUACAAAAAAAAAUGUCUUUCUUACUAUCCUCCAUCUUUAAAGUGAUUGAAAUGAAGGGUUCUUCAAUUUUUAGGUCCAAUACCAUCCACCAUUGGAAAUCUAACAAAUUUGUACUGGCUAGAACUCUCUUCCAACAAAUUAAAUGGUGAGCUUCCAUUCUUUAUCUGCAACUUGACAUAAUAACUUUUUUACAAACUUCGUCGGAUCUUUUCGCCAUUUUUGUUUGAACUAGUCUUUUUAAAAUUUUACAUUUGGUAAGAUAAGAUAUGCGAUUUGUCUAAUUCCGUUGGCAAUGCAUGCACAAUAUGAAAUAAAACACGAAUGAUAUUAAUAAUAAAAGAAAAACAUAGAAAACACUUUUUUUUCGAAUUGUAUGACUUAGCUAAUUUGUGUCAAAAGAUCCGAGUGCUUUACAUCUCGAUCUUUAAAGUGAUUUAUAUGAAGGGUUAUCCAAUUUUCAGGUCCAAUACCAUCCACCAUUGGGAAUAUAUCAAAUUUGGACUAGCUAGACAUCUCUUCCAACAAAUUAAAUGGUGAGCUUCCAUUCUCCAUGUGCAACAUGACAUCCCUUCAAAUUCUUAUUUUCUCAAAUACAGUUUGAAAUCUUGGACAUAUCAAAUCAAUCAAUUUAGUGGCCCCAUUCCUAAAUAUUUAUGAGAGGGUGUAUUUUUGAGUCUAACAAUUUGAGUGUUAAUAAAUUGCAAGGAAAUUUGCCUAUACGAUUUGUCUAAUUCCUUUGUCACUCCAUGUGCAAUAUGAAAUAGAAAAGGAUGACUUAUCUAAUUUUGAAUCUUUGAUUUCUCAACUUGCUAGGUUGUUCUCAUUUAAUUAGCUCGUGCUUAAUUAACUAAAUACUUUAACAAUAAUUGGAUUUGUUGUUUCCAGCCAUAUUGUAACUCUAUUAAUUUUAAGGAUCAAUAUUAACCAAUGCUAUAUUAAAUUAAGAUGCCAUUGAAUAUAUGAGACAUGCAUGGGUGAUAUAAGAAUAGAAGGUAAUUUAAUUUCUAUCAAAAUACUUCACGUGCAUAAAAUGUAUUUAUUCAUUGCCAUGUUUCUUUAUGUAUCCAGAUUGUUGACUUCUCAAACUUUCAGGUCCAAUACCAUCCACCAUUGGGAAUCUAUCAAAUUUAGAUGUAUUACAACUCUCUUCCAACAAAUUAAAUGGUGAGCUUCCAUUCUCCAUUUGCAACUUGACAUCCCUUCAAAUUCUUAUUUUCUCAAAUAACAGUUUGGAAAUCUUUGGACAUAUUUCAUCUAAAUGCAAAUCACUUUAGUGGCCCCAUUCCAUCAAUAUUUAUGAGAGGGUGUAUUUUUGAGUCUAACAAUUUGAGUGUUAAUUAUAUCGCAAGAAAAUUUGCCUAUACGUGUGUUCAUAUAAGAUAUGAUAUUUGUCUAAUUCCUUUGUCACUCCAUGUGCAAUAUGAAAUAGAUUUAUAUAUAAAAAAAAGUUGAGUAAUAUAUUUUCUCAAUAAAAGAAAAAGGAAAACAUACUCUAAUAUUUUGAAAAGUAAUUGGAGCAGUGUAAUCUCUUUUUCACAUGGAUAAUAGAGUGACUUAUUUAGAACUCUAGCUGGGGUAUGACUUGUGGGACUCGAAGGCAGCAUCCCACUAGAAAUCGGAAAUGUGUCUUCACUUGUUUAUCUUGAUAUGAAUGGAAACUCUUUUCAUGGUACUAUUUCCUCUAUCUAUUUUUUAAUUUGUUGUUAAUAGAAUAUAUUUAUUUAUAUGGUAAUCCUAUCAGCUUGUGUGAUAUCCCGACUUUUCUAUAAGAAAUAUAGAAGAUCUUUACUUAGUUUAUUAUUGAUACACGUCCAUUUUUAAUAAAUUAUAUUAUUCCAAAGAAAUUUUACAACUUUGACGUUCAUGAUUUUUAUUUUUUUUUAGAAAUUAGUUGAUAAUGUCAUUCAAUUUCAUGCUUUCACUACCUUGUUAUGCCAUUUUUUUUAAUUAUGCUUUAUUGACUUGAUUGGAAUAAUAAUUUAGUUUUUGAAAUAAUUCAAUAAUAUGGAAAAGAACUUUGGGUUGUCUAAUUUUUUUAUAAAAACUAUUUUUGAUUGAAUGAUAUUUUUAUCUAAGAACCAAUAGAAUACAUGUAUUAUUACCUUUUCAUAAAAAACAUAAGAAAAUGGGCAUUUUUAUCUAUUAACACUUACUUUUAUCCAUCGAAACUAAUCAUCAAAAAUAAGUUUUUAUAAUAUUUUUGAUGAAUUAAUAGUUAUUUGAGUAGAAGUCAAAAUUUGUGGCUCAAUGAUUUGACUUCCACGCGGCAUUGUCACAUAAGUCAAAUAAUGACUUGCAAAUUGAGUUGUCUUGUAAAUUAACACUUUAUCCGUUCCAUAAAAGUGUGCAUCAUUUUUUGUAGCACGAGUUUUAAUAAAAUGUUAAAUAAGUGUAUUGGGAGUUGAAAAAGUAAUUGACUUUAUUAAAAAAUAAAAGUAAGAAAUAAAAAAUUAGUGGUGUAGUAGUGUCCAAAAAUGACAAUGCACACUCUUAUGUGCCGGAGUAAGUAGUCUCCAAAAAUUUUAGGCUCACAAGAACAGUUUUAGAUUUGAAUAUAAAGGGCAUUUGUAGGCUUCAAGUCUCCAAAAUUCUAGGCAUAUUUUAAAUCAACUAUUACUCUCUUUUUUAUUUAAAAAAAGAUUAAUGACGAUUUUUCAUUUUCCCAUUAGUGAUUCAAAUCCCUAAUCUAUUAAUUGGAAGUGGAGAACUUUACCAAUUGAGUCACGCUUCGUUAUGAAAUUAACUAUAUACUUAUAACUUUGCAUGACUAUAUAUGACUUUGAAUUGAUUAGAUAUAAAUUCUUGCACAUUAAUCUUUUUGCAAUAAACCAUAUGCUUUGAUUAAAAAAAAUGACAUUUCGAUUUAUUUUAACAACUUAAUACCAAUUUGUAAAUAUCAGAAGGCCCAUAAAACUUAAUUAAUAUUACUUUGGUAGACUCUAAACCGAAUUAUUGACAAGAUAUAUUGCUCAUGAUUACUACGGUGGGCUCUUAUUAUUAUUAUUAUUAUUAUUAUUAUUAUUAUUAUUAUUAUUAUUAUUAUUAUUAUUAUUAUUAUUUCUCUCUCUUUUUCUAUACUUGACUCGGUUUACAUCGAUCUAAUUAAAUGCAAUCAAAGAGAUUGAUUAUGUAUAUCUUGGGAAUAAGAAAUUCCACAAUGCUAUGAAAACUUUAUCAAAUUUUUGGCAAUCUUUCAUUCAAUUACAAAUCAGUUUAGUGGUUAAAAAUGAGAUGGAACAUUACAUAAAUUUGUUGAAAAGAUAUUUCAAACUAUCUGUCAAGUAAUUCUUGUGAAGAUUUGCUACUAUUGAGAAUCUAUCAAAUCUAUGGAACCUAGACCUCUCUUCCAAUGAAUUAAAUGGUGAGCUUCCACUCCAUUUACAACUUGACAUCCCUUGCUAUCUGCAACUUGGCAGAAACGCUUGCAAAACUUGAUCAGAUCUUUAGCUUAAUUUGUUUUCUUAGCUUGCUGGCUUCUUCUCAUAUAACUAAUUUAUGCUUAGUUAGAUAAAUACUCUAACAGUAGUUGGAUUUUCUGUUUCCAGCCAUAUUGGAUCUUCUAUUUUCUCAAUGUUAACAAAUGAUUUGUUAAAUUAUGAUGUCAUCAAGUAUACUUGGUGUGCAUGUCUUCGUGAUACAUGGAAAUAUAAGAUUUGUAACAAAAUAUCUUGUGUAUGUUGCUAAUUGAUUUAUACUUUAGAGGCAUUUAGCAAAUAAUAAAGUUUCAGCGUAUGUUUUCAUGUACAAAACAAAAUGUCUUUCUUACUAUCCUCCAUCUUUAAAGCGAUUGAAAUGAAGGGUUCUUCAAUUUUUAGGUCCAAUACCAUCCACCAUUGGGAAUCUAUCAAAUCUGUCGGACCUAGACCUCUCUUCCAACAAAUUAAAUGGUGAGCUUUCAUUCUUUAUAUGCAACUUGACAUAAUAACUUUUUUACAAACAUGAUCGGAUCUUUGGCCAUUUUUGUUUGAACUAGUCUUGUAACGACCCAACUUCCCAAACAAAAGAAAUAAGAAAAUAAUGUGAUAUGAACAGAUCAAUUAUGAAGAUUUACCCAAAAGAUUAGGUAUCUGUGUUUUGAAGAGAUUAAUAAAAUAAAGAUAAAAUAGAAUAAAUGAAUGAGCAUUGAGUGACAUAAUCGAUUAACAACAUUCAACUUUCCAGGAGCGCAAAAGUUUAGUUUCGUGACUCUGAUCAUAAUCAACGAUGGCCUCAUUAAUUGAAAUACGAAUUAAGGGUCUAAGCUCAACGAGAUAAUAUUUUACCAUAUAAUAGAAGUUCUUAGUUUAGGAGAUUGAAAGACAAGAUAGCAAGCUAGUCGUUUAGCGGAAGCAAAAGACAACGUGGAACCCUAGCCUCAGCUCCGUCCGCACCAACCGAUCAACCUGAAAAUAUUUGAAAAUAAUUUGGGCUGAGUACUAGUGUACUCAGUGAACAGGAGUUUGCAAGAUAUUUUAUGAAAUAAUUAAAUAGAGCAGUUUAUCCAAUAUCAUAAUCAUAACUUAGAAGGUUUUUAAAAAAAAUAGAAAUCCUCUUCUAAGCAUGACAAAACAUUUUUCUCAUUAAGUGGCGCGCCAUGUGACGUUCGAUUGUUACUCGCUGCUUAUGAUCCCGGGAAUUAACCACCGUCGGAUCGCUUACCGCCGCUUAAGUGAACCCGGGACGCUACCCAGACGGAACACAUCAUCAUUUGUGCUUUGGAACGUGUCCAGGAGCACCCUUAUAACGCCUGCUUAGCUUUGUUAGUGCCCAAAUGGCGAUCAACCCAUUGAGCAACUAACCUUGUGUACACAAUCCUCAUCUAACGUGUUAGGUCAAAUGAGAAUCUCGAUCGAUGCUUAUGCGAGCAUUAAACAAUACAGAACGCACAUAAAAACAUUUAUAUUGGAUAAACAAGUAACUUUCAUGAAAUAUCAGAGCUUAUAUAACUCAAGAUACAUUUGUACAAUAAAGCCCACCUGGAUAGGCAAAGCCUGAAGAUCAUACACAUAUAAACUUGUCUUGGGAAAGCAGCGCUAACCCACUUGGCCACAAAGCCUACAAGAAAUUAUAUUCUUAAUAGGUAUCGAGGUAUCAUUCUAAUUUAUAAGUAAAUGGAAUCGCUAACUAUUGAUACACUUUGCCCGAUUUAAUAAUCUCUUUGAAUGAAUCCAUAAUCUUUUAAUAUAUAAAAUAAGUUUAAAACUUAUAAAAUAAUUAAUAAUUUAAAAUAAAUUAUAAAACAUUAAUCUUGGGAGAAAAAUUAAUAAUUCUUAUUAAAACAUUUUCAGCAAAAUAAUAGUUCAAGCCCAAGAAGAUAAUUUAAAAACUUGUUAUAAAAUAAAGCAGCCCAAAGUAAUUAAAGUGAAGCCUAAAUGCUUAAAUGUACCUGAGUCCAUUGACAAUUUAAAUCAAACUAGGCUCAAUCCAUUCUUUCAAAUUCCCUUAAUGAAAACCUACACCUACACACAUCACACACACAUACAACCCACGCACACCAGCUCACUCCCUCUCUCUCAGCCGCUCACCCCACCCUUUCUGCGCCCUCCUGCCGCCGCCACCGGACGGCAGCGCCGUCCCCGGAGGCCGGCGGCUCCGCCUCCUUCCUCUAUCCUGUCCGACCGCAACGCCACCCCGCCGUCCCUGUAUCGACAGAGGCGCGCCGAGCCGCCUCCCCUUCCAGUACUGCCGCCGCUGCCCUCUUUCCCUUUCCUCACCUCUAGUCUCCCUCUCACUCUCCCCCACCGCACCCAACAGCGGCGUCCACCCUUCUCCGGCGACCCUCGCCGCCAGCCACCACCCGCUCCUACCCGGCGUCACCUUCACCCUCCUCUCUCCCUCGUUUGGUCAACAGCAGCAGUCCUUCAGCAGCCCAGCUGCGGUCAAGGCCACCGCGCCGCCGCCGAACGGCGGCUUUCGCCUCCCUUCUCUUCCCCUUCUUCUUAUCUCCCUUUCACCCCUCACUUCUCGCCGUCCUCCAUCACCUCUCUCUCGCGCUUUCGGCAGCGGACGGCCAAGGAGGGCCGUCGCUGCUGCUGCUGCUCCGUUCACUCUGCGUCAGCGGCACCAUGCCCCGACUCCAUCUGCCUUGGCCGCGAGCGGCCGGCGGGAUGCUGCCACGCAUGCAGCGCCGGCAGUCGCAGCCUUGACAGCCCGGCGUCGAGCUCGAACCGCCCCACUCCCUCCCUCUCAUCGAUUCCUCGACUCUCACUCACUCACCAGAGGAACAAAGAAAUUGAAUGAAAAGGAAAUUGAAUGGGAGAGAGGAAAUUUUCUUCAUAAAUCGGAGUGUGUGGAUGGGAAAAGUUUGUGGGUGUGGCUGAAGGUGAUGUGGAUGAAGGAAAGCCAAAGCUUUUGAGAAAAAUAAAAUAAAAUCGCCACUGUAGAAUUCUUGGGGAAAAAAGAAAAUGUAUCAAUUCUCGUUGCCCGACUCAACUUCUCACACUUUCCCAUACUGACAUUCAAAUUUUGGGCCACUACUGAUCUUACAAAUCUUGAGGUGAAAGCCCAUAAAAUUAUUCUGUUAAAAAGAGGUUGUUGGGCUUGAGGUUCAUCAAAUAAAUAAAUAGAUAGAUAUAAAUGAAAAAUACUAGUAAGAACCUUCUACUAUAUUUUAGUAUUGG
rnacentral:lncRNA from 1 species